rnacentral:snRNA from 1 species
GGAUGUGAGGGCAAUCUGGCUGCGACAUCUGUCACCCCAUUGAUCGCCAGGGUUGAUUCGGCUGAUCUGGCUGGCUAGGCGGGUGUCCCCCUCCUCCCUCACCGAUCCGUGUGCGUCCCUCCCGAAGCUGCGCGCUCGGUCGAAGAGGACGACCUUCCCCCCCCACGAGGAGAGGACCGAUCUUCGGUCAAGGGUAUACGAGUAGCUGCGCUCCCCUGCUAGAACCUCCAAACAAGCUCUCAAGAAACACAGGCAUGCAAUUGGCACCAGCAAGAGCUUUAUAUGUAUUGCUCAUGCU